ensembl:lncRNA
AGUGAGCUAUAGUAGCGACUCCGAGAUGAGAUACUAUUAAUGACGAGUAAUGAUGAGAACACUCUACAGCCACCAAUAGGAGAAUAUCCUUCAUUAUUAGGCUUGCUAGAAAUUAAUGUGUUGAACUGAAAUAUCUUCUUCGUUACCGUGUGAGUCAUUCAUUUAAAAUAAAUAACCAUCAAGCCACUUGACAAUGAAGUUAACUAAUGAUUUCAAAAGAAGCCAAAUCUUUGACACAGAGACAGAAAGGGUUCAGACAGACAGAGUUUAUCAAACUAUUUUUACAUGGUUAAGUGAUUGUAAUCAACUCAACCACUACAAAUGAGGCAGGCUACAGGGACCCAAAUAGUGUAGCCUGCCUCAUUUGUAGUGUUUUCAGUUGUAAUUGGGCAUUACAGAUUGACAAUUACCGGAGGGCGUUGGUAAGUGACCCUGUAAGUGUUAAUUAACUACAUCUUUUGAAGGUUAUUAUGAAGGACAACAUGGUCAAAUGUAAAAAGUCAGACAAACCGUAAAUAUAUGUUAUACAUUAAAAAGAGUCAGCGGUAUUUAACUUAUUGUAGAGUGCAGUUGCCAAGGUGGUGACUUUUGAGAGUGUGGACACGCUUUUUGAUUGCAAUAAGUAAUGAGUAAAACCCAUGACUUCUCAUAGUGCACUGCAUUUUGCCAUAUUUGUGGGUGUAAGUAAGCUUCAGUAAGUAUUAGACUCGGAGUCUGACCAAAACAGUUAAUUGACAAAUUCUACUGGUUUGAAGUCUUAUGCUUUCCUAAAUGAUUAUGAAACUGAAACCGAAAGCUGAGAUUACGGUUUAUUGAUCUUAUUCAUACUGGUAUCUUAAAAUGUAAUUGAACAUUGUUAUGAGUAUGUGCACUGGUUGUUCAUUGUUCUGCUGACCUUUUCUGAUUAACUACACUACAAUAUAUCUGAAUUUUUACUGACAGCUUUUAUGCAUGGGUAUAAUCAACCUUUUGUCCUAGUGUACCAAUGAUAUUUUAUCUACCGUUUGUCCCCAUUAUACUAAAUGUGUUGGGCUUUUUUCUGUUUAGUAAAAGUCGAGAAAUACCCAUAUAGGAUAAUGAGAUUUCAUCGAACGCCUGGAUGAAAAUUCACACAAUGCAGCAAAGACGACACAGGUUAAAAAUAAAUACUGUAUGAUACAUAAGUACAAACAGCAGGCAAUAGGGGCACCCUCUCAAUACACAUCUAAAUGUAAAUAACACACCAACAAAUGUGUCCUGUGGAUCUCAAGAGCUAGCACUUCACACUAAACUAUCUGACGACACACAGCUCUACAUCCAGACCGCCCCAAGCGCCUCUGCAGACACGUCAUGUUUCACCGCCUGUCUUGGGGAGAUAAAAGCAUGAAUGAGCAACAAGCUCUCGUUGUUAGCACUCCGCACCAGGUUUAGUCAUCCUCCAUAACUAACAGCAUAACAGCCUACUCCGCAACCUCGGUAUCGUCCGCCACCCCACCCUUUGUUUCCUACCGCAUGCCAACCACAGCACCAAGACUGCCCUUUUCCACCUCAGGAACAUUGUCAUCCAUGCCCUCGUAACCUCCAGACUCGACUACUGCAACAGCACAAACUGCGAUAUGUUCAGAACGCUGCCGCUCGCCUGCUCACGUCCACCCGCCGUCCUCUGCAACCUCCACCGGCUCCCGGUGAAAUACAGGAUGGACUUCAAAAAUACGCAUCACCUACAAAGCCCUAAACAACCUGGGACCCUACGGACCUCUCAGACCUCCUCCCCCUCCACGCCCCAACCCGUUGCCUCAGGUCCGCCAAUGCCAACACCCUGAAGUAUACUAUAAAAAACCCAAAGUGUGUACACAUUGCACAUAUAAAUGCAUAUAUUUUGAUCCCUUGUUAUCUGUUCUGAGAGAGAAGCUUGUAUAGUGUCCUUGCCAGUCCAUGUCGUAACGCCAUAAUGUGGUCCCACCAUAGCUGACAUUAUAAGUUGUGCAGUCACAUACUUGGUGCUCUCCACAAGGCAGAGCCGUUUGUCCUCACCAAGCACAUUUGUUUCGAGAAAAUACUGCAUUGCUAACAUCUUUCCCUUGAUGUCCCUGAUCAAUGUGUGAGGGGAACUUCAAAACAAGACAUUUUCUUAUAAUGGCCAGUGAUAGUAUCUGCCUCAUGCCUCAUGACAGGCGCCAUCCAUCAGAACCGACAUGGCUGUGGAUGGGUACUUCUGUCACUAUUUGUGUCCGCGGUUACAACAUGAUUAAUCACAGUUCCUCACUCGAUCGCAGAAGUUGACAGUAGCCCCCAAAAAAAGAAGAUGAAAGGACAUUUGAAAUAAAAAUUUUGAACAAGUAAUGUUGUAGCACUUAUUGUGUCACCGUCUGAAAUGGUGCUCAAAAGCCUCUGAAUAGGGGUAAUAACCAUCAUAACUAUUUUUAAGACUGAAUCGAUCCCGGCUGAACUACCGAGGGCCGCAUAACAUUAUAAAGAGAUUGCCUACAAAGCCAGUUGGGCGGCCGUUGCAGUUGAAGCUCAUCUAAUGUCAUAAGGUCAUCGUGUGGUGUCAUCGACUGAAACUAUGGAGGCAAUAUAGGUUUUUUCAUCAUGAUUCAGUCGCGGAACCUUAUGCUACAGAAACAUGGA